CACUACUACGGUGGCCGGGAAGUGCAAAACAAUAUUACAAAGUAUAAACACCUUUUACGAAGCUCGAGACAAAUUUACAUUUUGGAAAACAUUUUUACUUAUCAUAAAACACAAUUACAUGGGGAAAACACUUUUACCAAGAACGAAACAAAUUUACAUUUUAGAAAACAAAUUAACAAGAGGCAAAAAACUUUUACCAGCCCGAAACAAAUUUACAAUGACAGAUUUUUCACGGAAAGGGAAUGUACCACACACCGGAAGUGACGCGGUGAAAGGUGUUGUUGUUGUUGGUGAGCGCGGUAAAUUCGUGUGGUUGUGGAGUAAAUGGCAUAAAUGAAGUUUAUGGUGUCAGAACAUGGACUGCGGCCAAGGGAGGUUUUGCGGCAAACACAUGAACAGCUUAACGCGGUUUUGCUUCACGUGCGAUCGUUGUCUGGAGUUUCUAAACGACGCGGACCAGACGGAAACACAGGAGAUGUCUCGACAGCCGGACAGUGCUAAUCAAACAGAACAACCAUGCCCAUCAUACAAACAGUUCAUGGAGUAAAGAAGCUCAAAGACAAAAGAAGUCUUUUAACUAUGGGCCAAAAGGAAGAUUUACGCCUAAAGAAAGAAAACACGUCCAGAAGGCCAGGCUGCUUUGUCUGUGGAAGAUGUUUUGAUGUUUGCUACUGGGCUGUCUUCACUUCUGCCAUCUGGAUUGGAACCACUGCCACAAAUAGAGUUCCUGGAUGACUCUACGUUCCCAAUAGCAAAUACAGUUUGACCGGCCAUAAAUCGGAACCGGACGGUUUUUGCUUAAAAUACGCGAUCAGUCUUUUUUCGUCUGUUUUUUCUGGAAGUGUGCCCGCAUACAUUGUAAUCAUGUCAUUUGUGUGGAAGUAUUUUCGAAAUCUCUGCGCAGGACAAGGGCAGCUGUUCAGCUCUGGAAGGGCAUCGAUACAUGUCUGAGGCACAGGAAGCAAGCAGCUGUUGGUGUACUGGUUCACAAAUAAAAGCCUUUCCUGCACACUGAAGCUGCGCGAGCGCACAAGCGGAGACAGUGAAGAGAUCUUCAGCUCAACUUCUCGCCUGUUGGAUGAGAAACGAAACAGACUAAACAGUGACAUACACAUUUGAAAAGACAGAAGUAAAUGUCAGUUCGUAUAGGAUGAUUUUAUUUUACCUUAAAAUUACAUCGACUUAAUUUGAUUUAAAAAUCACCUGCUGUAGCACACUGAAAAAAGUGUUUCAUUCAUCCAAUUAAAAAAUUCAGAUUCACAUCUGUAUUUUUUUUUUAA